GGGGGUAACCCUGGUGGCGAGUGGCGAACGGGUGAGUAAUACAUCGGAACGUGUCCUGUAGUGGGGGAUAGCCCGGCGAAAGCCGGAUUAAUACCGCAUACGCUCUACGGAGGAAAGGGGGGGAUCUUAGGACCUCUCGCUACAGGGGCGGCCGAUGGCAGAUUAGCUAGUUGGUGGGGUAAAGGCCUACCAAGGCGACGAUCUGUAGCUGGUCUGAGAGGACGACCAGCCACACUGGGACUGAGACACGGCCCAGACUCCUACGGGAGGCAGCAGUGGGGAAUUUUGGACAAUGGGCGAAAGCCUGAUCCAGCAAUGCCGCGUGUGUGAAGAAGGCCUUCGGGUUGUAAAGCACUUUUGUCCGGAAAGAAAUCCCCUGGGAUAAUACCCCGGGGGGAUGACGGUACCGGAAGAAUAAGCACCGGCUAACUACGUGCCAGCAGCCGCGGUAAUACGUAGGGUGCAAGCGUUAAUCGGAAUUACUGGGCGUAAAGCGUGCGCAGGCGGUUCGCUAAGACAGAUGUGAAAUCCCCGGGCUUAACCUGGGAACUGCA
rnacentral:rRNA from 1 species